GGGAGGUUGCCACACGGACCGGUAAUGGCUUCUGACUUUUGAAAUGUCUUGACAAGACCAAGGGUACCGUGAAGAGGGACACUCACGUUCCUCCCUUUCAUUACCAGACUACUGAGAAAAUGGACUCGAAGGCAUUGGAAUUUCCUUGGGAGAAGGGAAAUGAACUCAUAGUAGUUGUGACAGGAUCCAUAAGGCAGAUGACAUUCCAGCAUAGACAGAGGGAGGUGGAUACAAAGCUCCACCUCACCUAAGGAGUGAUUGGCAAUUGACAGCGCCUGAGAGAGGAAACAUCAGUUUCCUUGAAGAGUAUAGCACCUCGUAGGUUGACUAUGCUCCAGUGUGCCAAGAACAUAUAUGCUGCACAAACUGGGCUUAAUGGAUUGAAAAAAAAAAAGAGGAUGCAAAAUCUGGUAAGUAGGAUGGGAGAGUACAUCUUGGAGAAAUU
rnacentral:lncRNA from 1 species